rnacentral:rRNA from 1 species
ACUACGGGCGGCAGCAGUGGGGGAUAUUGGACAAUGGGGGGAACCCUGAUCCAGCGACGCCGCGUGAGUGAAGAAGUAUUUCGGUAUGUAAAGCUCUGUCAGCAGGGAAGAAAGAAAUGACGGUACCUGACCAAGAAGCCCCGGCUAACUACGUGCCAGCAGCCGCGGUAAUACGUAGGGGGCAAGCGUUAUCCGGAAUUACUGGGUGUAAAGGGAGCGUAGACGGUUAAGUAAGUCUGGAGUGAAAGGCCGGGGCCCAACCCCGGGACUGCUCUGGAAACUAUUGAACUUGAGUGCAGGAGAGGUAAGCGGAAUUCCUAGUGUAGCGGUGAAAUGCGUAGAUAUUAGGAGGAACACCAGUGGCGAAGGCGGCUUACUGGACUGUAACUGACGUUGAGGCUCGAAAGCGUGGGGAGCAAACAGGAUUAGAUACCCCUGUAGUC